rnacentral:rRNA from 1 species
CGCCUCUUGCAAAACAAGAAUAAGAGGUCUCGCCUGCCCUGUGACCAUGAGUUUAACGGCCGCGGUAUUUUGACCGUGCAAAGGUAGCGCAAUCACUUGUCUUUUAAAUGAAGACCUGUAUGAAUGGCAUAACGAGGGCUUAACUGUCUCCCUUUUCCAGUCAAUGAAAUUGAUCUCCCCGUGCAGAAGCGGGGAUUAAAACAUAAGACGAGAAGACCCUAUGGAGCUUUAGACAAAGAGCAGACCAUGUUAAACACACCUAAAUAAAGGACAAAACCAAUUGGCCCCUGCCCUUAUGUCUUUGGUUGGGGCGACCGCGGGGAAACAAAAAACCCCCAUGUGGACUGAAGACAUUCCUCUUCACAACCAAGAGCCACAGCUCUAAGCAACAGAACAUCUGACCAACAAGAUCCGGCACUAAGCCGAUCAACGGACCGAGUUACCCUAGGGAUAACAGCGCAAUCUCCUUUUAGAGCCCCCAUCGACAAGGAGGUUUACGACCUCGAUGUUGGAUCAGGACAUCCUAAUGGUGCAGCCGCUAUUAAGGGUUCGUUUGUCAACGAUUAAAGUCCU